GUGGGUCGUCAGCGAAAUGGGACACACCUGGGCUCGGGUGUGUCCCAGGAUAAAUACAUUUGUGUUCAUUUGUUUUCGACCUCUCAACACCCCUCAUUAUCAACAUCUAUGCAUGCCUCCACUCACUUACACCAUUGUUACUUGGAUAUAGUUUCCUUUAUCUCCGCGUUGUCUCCCUCUUUGUUACGGGCUAUGAGCCGGUUCGUAACAGUAUGAUAUAGCACUUUCUAGCUCUAAGUUUCUGCUUUUAUCCAAAAACAGAAUUUCAAAUUUUGCUACAUAGGACCGAAUCCAGGUGGUGGGUCACAAUUGUGUCAAACCACCCAAUUAUCGAGAAGAAACAGCAUCAUUCAUCAGCAGAUUACAAGAAAAAGAAUGCCUGGACUACCAUUUGUAAUGAAUUAAACUCAAAUGAAAAAGAAAAAGAAAACAAAAGGAUGCUUCAGAUCCUGUGGAAAAACAUAAAAAUCUACUUAAAGAAGACAAAUGCUGUUGCUCGUACGGAGCGUUUCAAGACUGGCGGCGGACCCCCAUUAAGACUGGAGACAGAUGAGCUGGGGGACUUGUUGACCGUGAUCAUUGAUAGCCAGCAACCCUGGGAAGGAAUUUGGACAGGUCAGAUUGGGGACCGUUCCAAUCCUAAUUUGAUUGGCGACGAGGUACCAGAGUUUUUGUCCGAAGGGGAACAGAGCGAGCAAGAAAGUGCUAGCUCCAUCGAGACAGUCUGUGUGUAAAGCUAGCACCGAAGAUGGCAUUCUGCAAGGCCGAGGAAAGUGUCACCCGUUGUAACGAGUGUCGUGUGUGGAGGACCAAGACGCAACAGGGA
rnacentral:lncRNA from 1 species